rnacentral:rRNA from 1 species
AUUGAACGCUGGCGGCAGGCUUAACACAUGCAAGUCGAGCGGAGCGAGGGUGCUUGCACCUUAGCUUAGCGGCGGACGGGUGAGUAAUGCUUAGGAAUCUGCCUAUUAGUGGGGGACAACAUUCCGAAAGGAAUGCUAAUACCGCAUACGUCCUACGGGGGAAAGCAGGGGAUCUUCGGACCUUGCGCUAAUAGAUGAGCCUAAGUCGGAGUAGCUAGUUGGUGGGGUAAAGGCCUACCAAGGCGACGAUCUGUAGCGGGUCUGAGAGGAUGAUCCGCCACAAUGAGACUGAGACACGGCCCAGACUCCUACGGGAGGCAGCAGUGGGGAAUAUUGGACAAUGGGCGGAAGCCUGAUCCAGCCAUGCCGCGUGUGUGAAGAAGGCCUUUUGGUUGUAAAGCACUUUAAGCGAGGAGGAGGCUACUAGUAUUAAUACUACUGGAUAGUGGACGUUACUCGCAGAAUAAGCACCGGCUAACUCUGUGCCAGCAGCCGCGGUAAAAC